rnacentral:tRNA from 1 species
GUAGUGGUGGUUCAGUGGUAGAAUUCUCUCCUUCCAUGUGGGAGACCUGGGUUCUACUCCUAGCCAGUGCA